rnacentral:lncRNA from 1 species
UUUUGCACUUCACAUACUUGCAUCACCAUGAACCGUUUGAGAGACGUCUUCGUAUUGUUGAUCGUAUGUGCGUGGUCUAGUACAUAGAAGUUUCCCCGUAUAACCACCAAGGAGAGAGAGACCUUUGUUGAAAUGCACAUCAACAACACAUGAAGUACAAACUACGAUCUUGGGAGGUUGCAAACAGUUUUAGGUUAAUUAGGUUUUCAUAGUGAUGCAUAAUCCCCUAAUUGAGUAAUUUGAUCAGGAUCACAUCUGGAUGAACAGGAAGUUCUGUUGAAGGAUGGGGAACACAUGAAGGUUUGAUAAUUGAGAUUUUGUCUUAUAGAAACGAGGAACUGCGAAACUUAUGCGCAAAGUUACAAUGAAGAUCCCCUUAAAGCACUAGACAAGGAACUUACAAGAGAUUUUGAGUUUUGGGUUUGUUGAUGUUGUGUACGACUUGUAUGUGAUGUUGUCCUUGGUGGUAUUUAGUCUUGCCUUGACUAAUCUUGAGGAAGAUUUGACAGUCUUCAAUGAAAUUGUGGAUGUAUUGCUGUUUUGUCGUUGAUUUAGACUCCAUGCCACCGAUAUCGCCUAAGACAUAGCGGUUUUUUUUGGUAAUCUUGGAUCAAUUGUUCGAUAAGAAUCAAAAUGGCAUCUGGGAUUUGUAACAAAAAGUUAACGAAAAUCAUGCUUCAAGAUUUGCCAUUUUGACAGCUCACAAAAAAAUGGUAACUUCAUGUUUCUAACCACCAUGAAGAUGCUGAAUCCAGUUUUUCCUUCUUUUUUGGGCCUACUGCUUCGUUUUUGCAUAUUCAUUGAAGAGGUGGAGCCAGUAAUUUUAGGGAAAAAUUGUCUGAUGUACUGGUUAUAGGUCAAGGGCAGUAGGUCAUAGAGUCAAAUAUAUAGGCGGGUUUCGAGUUUGAACGGGUCAAAGUAGCUGGUGAUUUUCAGCUGUGAGGUUUGUAUUGUUUUUAACUCUUCUUAAUCAAUCAUGGAAAUAUACAUUGUUGGUGUGUCCUUGAGUUUGUUUGUGUGUGCAACCAAGGCCUAAACAUUGUUGAGAAAAAUCAUAUUAAUGCCAUAGUGUAUUUGUUGUUUUGUUUUAGUUAAAAAUAUAUGUAUGUAUGAACAAACUAUGGAUAAAAGUCUUACCUUGACUUUAUUUUAAUUCUCAACUUGAUUUGAUUUGAAGUUAAUUUUCUAACAAACAACCAAGUCACUUUCUUUGGCAGUGCAGAAAAAACAAAUUGGUAAAACAUAUAAUUAAAAUUGACAGCUUUCGUUAAUGGUAAAAUGGAAUUGUGAAUGACGUGGGGUUUAGUCACUGAUUAUGGGUCACAGGUCAGCAGGUCGUAGAGUCAAAUAUAAAGUCGGGUCACGGGUUUGAAUGCGUCAAAGUAGCGGUGGUUUAGACUUUUAUUUUUAUAAUUUAAUCUCGUUUGGACUCAAGUGGUUGACUUACAAAUUCACAGGCCUCUUGUGAAUGACGCUGGAUGUAACUCGCGUCAAAUCAUCUACAUGGAUUCAGUCAUAAGAUGUUUUGACUUUUGACAAAGGCAUACUCAUCUGGUAUCCUCUGACCUGAGAUAUAUAUUAGAACUUCCGUUUACAAAGAACCAUUCUUUGAUUACUGUCAACCGUUGUCGCGUAACUGCCAGUCAUAAAGGCUUUAGUUGGGAAUGGAUCUUAAGUUCAGUGGGAGUUGUAUGUAAUCAAUAGGGAAUCCUAUACUCUUACAUUAAAAUGUAACAACUAGGCAUCAAGGCACCCUCGUUGAUUCAUACUGGAGAAGUGUAAGGCCUUACCCAAAAUGACUGUGUGUUUGAUUGGACCACUAUGAAUCUGGAUCGAGAACAAGAAUAAUUGAAACACAAUAUGAGAAUGAAUUGAUCCAUGUCUCAUAGUUUCAAAUUGAUGUCUUUUACAGAAAGGAUAUAUGACAACGAUUGCCAUAAGUCUACUGUCUUCAAGUAGCAAGCCGUUGCUAAAGGGAAGAUGCCUUGGUUAGUGACUUUAAAGUGUCAUAACCUAUUGGGGGUAGCUAUGUGUAGCUAGAGCACCGUUGGCUGCCUGCGUUGAGAUCUUAUCGGAGACCGUCCAAGUGGGAGCUGUUGGAUAUUUAUAUCUGGUUCGAUAAGUCAACGCUACCGACCGAGUCUUGACCCGUAAGAGUUACACCGUGGGCAACGAACUGAAAUCCACUUAACUGGUUUAACCGGUAAUUACGAACGAUAUGCAAAACGGAUCAUAAUUAUAUUUAUGAUCACGAGCGGGUUUAUGUUAUUAAUAAUCGUUAUUAAUAAUAUAACUAGUUUUUCACUUGUCGCGCGUUGCGGCGGUACCGCUGUACGUGGCCUGAUAAAUUAUAGAUUAUAAUCAACGCGACUCGUUUUCAAACUAAAUUUAUGUUGAAGCGUAGAGUAAUCCAAAUUCAUACCAUUGAGUAAAAUGUAUUAUAUCUGACACGAUUUGUUUCCAAACAAAAUUUACGUUGAAACGUAGACCAACUCAAAAUGCACACAAAUUAUAUAAGUGGGUUGGCGUUGUACGCGCCGUCAUAACUCUAGGCUAUAAUCGACCCUACUCCUUUCUGAACUAAACUUACGUCGAAACGUAUGGUAACUCAUUUAUACCGUCGAAUGAAAACAUAUUAUAUUUCGUCCGAUUUGUUCUAAUCAAAAUUUACGACAAAACAAAGUGCAACUCAAAACGUACAUAAAAGUAAAAUUUAUAUUGUUGACUCGCCUUGUUUCCAAAUAAAAUUACAUUAAAGUGUAUUCAACAAAAACCUUUUCGAGUACAUCAGGUUAUGAAAUAGUGUUGAAU